GUGAUAAGGGAACCCUAAGUGCUCAUGCUUAGCAUGGGCUUUUGCCAAGAGUAAAUAUCUUGGAGAAUAAGUGGUGGGUAAGACUGGUGCCAGCAGCCGCGGUAACACCAGCGCCACGAGUGGCAAUCAUAUUUAUUUGGCCUAAAGCGUUCGUAGCCGGUUUAAUAAGUCUUUUGUGAAAUCGUUGUGCUCGACAUAACGGCGUGCAAAAGAUACUGUUAAACUUGGAACCGGGAGGGGUUAGGAGUAUUCUGGGGGGAGCGGUAAAAUGCUGUAAUCCUCGGAGGACUACCUGUGGCGAAGGCGCCUAACUAGAACGGAUUCGACGGUGAGGAACGAAAGUCAGGGGAUCAAAACGGAUUAGAUACCCGAGUAGUCCUGACCGUAAACGCUGCGAGCAAGGCGUUGCAUAUUCUACAGGAAUAUGCAGUGUCGAAACGAAGGUGUUAAGCUCGCCGCCUGGGAAGUAUGGUC
rnacentral:rRNA from 1 species